rnacentral:rRNA from 1 species
CCCGGGCCUUGUACACACCGCCCGUCACACCAUGGGAGUUGGCUUUACCUGAAGACGGUGCGUUAACCCGAAAGGGAGACAGCCGGCCACGGUAGGGUCAGCGACUGGGGUG